rnacentral:rRNA from 1 species
UACGGAGGGUGCGAGCGUUGUCCGGAAUCACUGGGCGUAAAGGGCGCGUAGGCGGCCGCGUAAGUCACUUGUGAAAUCCCGGGGCUCAACUCCGGGGCCGCAGGUGAGACUGCGUGGCUAGAGCACGGUAGAGGCGAGUGGAAUUCCAAGUGUAGCGGUGAAAUGCGUAGAGAUUUGGAGGAACACCAGUGGCGAAGGCGACUUUCUGGUCUGUAACUGACACUGAGGCGCGAAAGCGUGGGGAGCGAACAGG